GUCGAACGGUGAAGCCCUUCGGGGUGGAUCAGUGGCGAACGGGUGAGUAACACGUGGGCAAUCUGCCCUGCACUCUGGGACAAGCCUUGGAAACGAGGUCUAAUACCGGAUAUUACCCCUGGGGGCAUCCCUGGGGGUGGAAAGCUCCGGCGGUGCAGGAUGAGCCCGCGGCCUAUCAGCUUGUUGGUGGGGUGAUGGCCUACCAAGGCGACGACGGGUAGCCGGCCUGAGAGGGCGACCGGCCACACUGGGACUGAGACACGGCCCAGACUCCUACGGGAGGCAGCAGUGGGGAAUAUUGCACAAUGGGCGAAAGCCUGAUGCAGCGACGCCGCGUGAGGGAUGAAGGCCUUCGGGUUGUAAACCUCUUUCAGCAGGGAAGAAGCGCAAGUGACGGUACCUGCAGAAGAAGCACCGGCUAACUACGUGCCAGCAGCCGCGGUAAUACGUAGGGUGCGAGCGUUGUCCGGAAUUAUUGGGCGUAAAGAGCUCGUAGGCGGCUUGUCACGUCGGAUGUGAAAGCCCGGGGCUUAACCCCGGGUCUGCAUUCGAUACGGGCAGGCUAGAGUGUGGUAGGGGAGAUCGGAAUUCCUGGUGUAGCGGUGAAAUGCGCAGAUAUCAGGAGGAACACCGGUGGCGAAGGCGGAUCUCUGGGCCAUUACUGACGCUGAGGAGCGAAAGCGUGGGGAGCGAACAGGAUUAGAUACCCUGGUAGUCCACGCCGUA
rnacentral:rRNA from 1 species